GGAGAGGUGGCUGAGCGGUUGAAAGCGGCUCCCUGCUAAGGAGUUAUAGGGGUUAACUCUAUCGGGGGUUCGAAUCCCCCCCUCUCCG
rnacentral:tRNA from 1 species